rnacentral:misc_RNA from 1 species
GAUAUCAACAUCAAAUGUUCAGCCACCUGCCCAAACACAAGCUCUUCAGCCUGCAGCAGCUGCUCCUACUGGUGCCAUUUCCUCUGCGGGAACUUUAAUGCGAUUCCGAUUUCACUGGUAUCACAUUUUUUUUGCUGUAGGAUUACUGGCAGCUUCAGGGGCUGGAACAACUGUAUUAAUUAAGAAUGCUAUUAUCCCUAGAUUGAAGUCUUGGAUACGUAAGGUUAUAUUGGAAGAAGAAGAAGAAGAAAAAGAAGACCCUGUGAAGAAGGCUAAUGCAAAACCAAGUUUGGCGGAAGAGGCGGCAGCCGCUGGCAAAGGAGCCGCCGCCACCGCGGGGCUGUGUUGUAAAAGCAACCGCAAAGAAGUGGNUUGCAAAAGCAAGCCAAGAAAUGUUGAAUUCAAAAAGCGAAGAGAGAAGACACUUCAAGGAAUUUAUGAAUCUUUUGGAUGUGCAAGUUCAGGAAAUGAAAUCCAUGAGCACCGCAAUACGAAAAUUGGAAGGACAAACUAAUAACCUUGGAAGAACCUCUCUUGUUGAUCAAGAAGAUUAUACACCUUCAGUGGCAAAUCAUCCUAAGCAAACCUAUGUGAAUGGGAAGGCCAAGUCAGAUUCACGCUCAGUGAGAUCUUUAUCUGCCCCCGC